rnacentral:rRNA from 1 species
UACGGAGGGGGCUAGCGUUGUUCGGAAUUACUGGGCGUAAAGGGCGCGUAGGCGGUGCGGUAAGUCACCUGUGAAAUCUCCUGGCUCAACUGGGAGCUUGCAGGCGAAACUGCCGUGCUGGAGUGUGGGAGAGGUGCGUGGAAUUCCUGGUGUAGCGGUGAAAUGCGUAGAUAUCAGGAGGAACACCUGUGGCGAAAGCGGCGCACUGGACCACAACUGACGCUGAGGCGCGAAAGCUAGGGGAGCAAACAGG